ACAUUUGCUUGGAUGUACUACUACUGGUAUCUUACCAAUGACGGGAUUGAGUUUUUGAGGACGUACCUGAAUCUUCCAUCAGAAAUUGUUCCUGCCACCUUGAAGAAACAAGCAAAGCCUGCUGGAGGUCGGCCAUUUGGUGGCCCACCUGGUGACCGCCCACGGUAAUUUAGAUUUAUGUUGACCAUUUGGUGAUUUGAGUGUUAUCCUCAUCUUUUCCUUCACUAUUUAGAGAACUUACAAGUUGGGUUUGCUUGGGUUUCUAGAGGUCCACCUCGCUUUGAAGGAGACCGUCCAAGAUUUGGUGACCGUGAUGGUUAUCGUGGGGGCCCUCGAGGGGGUGAAGGUGGUGAAAAGGGAGGAGCACCAGCAGA
rnacentral:lncRNA from 1 species